UACGGAGGGUGCGAGCGUUGUCCGGAAUCAUUGGGCGUAAAGGGCGCGUAGGUGGCCCGGUCAGUCCGUGGUGAAAGCGCGGGGCUCAACCCCGCGUCGGCCAUGGAUACUGCUGGGCUUGAGCACUGUAGAGGCAGGCGGAAUUCCGGGUGUAGCGGUGGAAUGCGUAGAGAUCCGGAAGAACACCGGUGGCGAAGGCGGCCUGCUGGGCAGUGGCUGACACUGAGGCGCGACAGCGUGGGGAGCAAACAGG
rnacentral:rRNA from 1 species